AAAUAUAAUUGGGCAUCGCAAGUUAAAAAUCUGUUAGAAUUUGCAAACUGUCAAAGAUCAUGGAGAGAUAUCAAUGUAGCGUUCCUAAAAGCAAACAAAAAUGACUUAAUAGACACAUUUAAACAAAAGGGCUUUAGACCUGAGCGAUCAACCACAACAGUAUCUUCAUAUUCGAAUGCCUCUAUAAUUCACCAGAACAAUAGCACAACUUAGACUGUCGAAUGAGUUUUGUAUUCGGUUCACUUUUCAAGGACUAACAUAUAAGAUGAUCCAAAACAGUUGUGUACAAUAUGCAACAAACGUGAGCUGGAAACUCUGCGUCACCUUCUGUUCGAAUGUCCUAUUUACACAGCAAUGAGACCACAGAAUAUUACCAAUCUGUUAAAUCCAGAACAUUUAGCAAACACCCUGAAUAAUAUUACACCCUCUACCGCGAAAACAAUUUCAAAUCAUAUAUGGAAUAUUCUGAAGCUACGAGCUUUCGUAAUUAACGAA
rnacentral:lncRNA from 1 species